GAUGAACGCUAGCUACAGGCUUAACACAUGCAAGUCGAGGGGCAGCACAGUGUAGCAAUACAUGGGUGGCGACCGGCGCACGGGUGCGUAACGCGUAUCCAACCUUCCCGUUACUCAGGGAUAGCCUUCCGAAAGGGAGAUUAAUACCUGAUGGUGUUCAAAUUUCGCAUGUUAUUUGAACUAAAGAUUUAUCGGUAACGGAUGGGGAUGCGUGACAUUAGGUAGAUGGCGGGGUAACGGCCCACCAUGCCUACGAUGUCUAGGGGUUCUGAGAGGAAGGUCCCCCACACUGGAACUGAGACACGGUCCAGACUCCUACGGGAGGCAGCAGUGAGGAAUAUUGGUCAAUGGUCGGAAGACUGAACCAGCCAAGUAGCGUGAAGGAUGAAGGUUCUAUGGAUUGUAAACUUCUUUUAUACGGGAAUAAAACCUCCCACGUGUGGGAGCUUGUAUGUACCGUAUGAAUAAGCAUCGGCUAACUCCGUGCCAGCAGCCGCGGUAAAAGU
rnacentral:rRNA from 1 species